AGCCAAUGAUGACAUACCAAAUUACUUUUCUGACACCUCGUAUGAGAGCUUUUAGCUCCUGAUUCUAACUUUUUUCUGAGGCUA
ensembl:snoRNA